GUGCCAGCCGCCGCGGUAAUACGUAGGUGGCAAGCGUUGUCCGGAUUUAUUGGGCGUAAAGCGAGCGCAGGCGGUUUCUUAAGUCUGAUGUGAAAGCCUUCGGCUCAACCGAAGAAGUGCAUCGGAAACUGGGAAACUUGAGUGCAGAAGAGGACAGUGGAACUCCAUGUGUAGCGGUGAAAUGCGUAGAUAUAUGGAAGAACACCAGUGGCGAAGGCGGCUGUCUGGUCUGUAACUGACGCUGAGGCUCGAAAGCAUGGGUAGCAAACAGGAUUAGAUACCCUGUAGUCCAUCCCGUAAACGAUGAGUGCUAGGUGUUGGAGGGUUUCCGCCCUUCAGUGCCGCAGCUAACGCAUUAAGCACUCCGCCUGGGGAGUACGACCGCAAGGUUGAAACUCAAAGGAAUUGACGGGGGCCCGCACAAGCGGUGGAGCAUGUGGUUUAAUUCGAAGCAACGCGAAGAACCUUACCAGGUCUUGACAUCCUUUGACCACUCUAGAGAUAGAGCUUUCCCUUCGGGGACAAAGUGACAGGUGGUGCAUGGUUGUCGUCAGCUCGUGUCGUGAGAUGUUGGGUUAAGUCCCGCAACGAGCGCAACCCUUAUUACUAGUUGCCAGCAUUUAGUUGGGCACUCUAGUGAGACUGCCGGUGACAAACCGGAGGAAGGUGGGGACGACGUCAAAUCAUCAUGCCCCUUAUGACCUGGGCUACACACGUGCUACAAUGGAUGGUACAACGAGUUGCGAGACCGCGAGGUUUAGCUAAUCUCUUAAAACCAUUCUCAGUUCGGAUUGUAGGCUGCAACUCGCCUACAUGAAGCCGGAAUCGCUAGUAAUCGCGGAUCAGCAUGCCGCGGUGAAUACGUUCCCGGGCCUUGCACACACCGCCCGU
rnacentral:rRNA from 1 species